AAAGUCGUAACAAGGUUUCCGUAGGUGAACCUGCGGAAGGAUCAUUACCAAAUCCAAAUUCUUAACCCCAUGUGAACUAUUGUUUUAGUCUGUCUUUGGGAGAAGAAUUAAUUUUUUUCUCCCAAUAGAGUCCGGCAUAACUUUAUUGUUGUGUCCAGAUUCGAAAACCCAUAAACCACUUGAUUUUUCUGUUGGAAUUACUUUUAUUAAUUUUUCAAUAAAAGACAACUUUUAACGGCGGAUCUCUUGGCUCGU
rnacentral:misc_RNA from 1 species